AUGAUUUCUCUUGGAUUUGAGAAAGCCCCACUAGAGCAUGCGAUGUACAAAAGAGGUGAAGGAAGGGAUCGUCUACUAGUUGGCAUCUACGUCGACGACUUGUUGAUAACUGGAGCAGAUGAAGAGGCGAUUGCAAAGUUUAAGCUACAAAUGAAGGAGCUUUUCAAGAUGGAUGAUCUAGGUUUAUUGAGUUGCAACCUCGGGAUUGAGGUACAUCAAAAGCCGAAGGGGAUCACACUAUGCCAGAAGGCAUAUGCAAGGAAGAUACUUGAAAGCCGUGGCAUGAAAGAUUGCAAUCACAUUGUCGCUUCAAUGGAACCUCGUCUUGAGCUGAACAAAAAAGAGAUGGUGAAACUACUCGGCUAUAGUGGUAGUCACAAGGAAGGGAUUGUCGAUGACCGUAAGAGUACCUCAGACGUGGCAUAUUUCCUUGGCGGAAGCAUAGUAAGCUGGCUAUCACGAAGACAGAAAGUGGUGAAAUUGACUUCAAGUGAAGCAGAGUAUCAAGGUGUGUGGCUAGGAAGUCUACACGGUGAUUUCAUGGAUCGAGAUCCGGAACCGAUGGUGCUCAAUGUUGACAGUGAGUCUACGGAUUUUCUAUGCAAGGAUCCAGUGCGGCAUGAUAGGAGCAAGCACAUUGAUACGGUAUAUCACUAUACAAAGGAUUGCAUGGAAGAAGGUAUGAUGAAGGUCAACUACGGUUGCACCGAUGAUCAGCUGGCGGACAUCCAGACCAAGGCUUUGGAUCGAGAGAAGUUCUUGGGGCUGCAAAGAAGAAUCGACGUCGGCGUUGUAACGUGA
rnacentral:rRNA from 1 species